rnacentral:lncRNA from 1 species
UUAUUAUUGGUUAAUUAUUUAUCUAUUUAUUGAACAUUACUUUAUUAUUUAAAAGAAAAUUGAUUAAUUGAGAAAAAAAGUUUUUUGAUUAUUGUACUCGCUAGAGUCUUACAACUAUAUGCCUACGUACCCAAAAAUUUAUUGAAGGAUCAGAGUCUCGUAGUUCGUCUUAAAAGUGUAUGUUGGUUGGUUGUUUUUAUCCCUUAAAAGUUCUCACGCAUCAGGGAU